GUCUUUUUCGUCCAGUGGUUAGGACAUCGUCUUUUCAUGUCGAAGACACGGGUUCGAUUCCCGUAAAGGAUA
rnacentral:tRNA from 1 species